rnacentral:rRNA from 1 species
AUUGAACGCUGGCGGCAUGCCUUACACAUGCAAGUCGAACGGUAACAGGUCUUCGGAUGCUGACGAGUGGCGAACGGGUGAGUAAUACAUCGGAACGUGCCUAGUAGUGGGGGAUAACUACUCGAAAGAGUGGCUAAUACCGCAUGAGAUCUACGGAUGAAAGCAGGGGAUCGCAAGACCUUGUGCUACUAGAGCGGCCGGUGGCAGAUUAGGUAGUUGGUGGGAUAAAAGCUUACCAAGCCGACGAUCUGUAGCUGGUCUGAGAGGACGAUCAGCCACACUGGGACUGGGAAACGGCCCAGACUCCUACGGGAGGCAGCAGUGGGCAAUUUUGGACAAUGGGCGCAAGCCUGAUCCAGCAAUGCCGCGUGCAGGAUGAAGGCCUUCGGGUUGUAAACUGCUUUUGUACGGAACGAAAAGCCCCGGGUUAAUACCCUGGGGUCAUGACGGUACCGUAAGAAUAAGCACCGGCUAACUACGUGCCAGCCGCCGCGGUAA